UGACAAGAAGCCCAGACAUAAUGCUCUGGAGGAAUAAGAUCUGCCCUCUGGUUUUUGUUCUGGGAGUUUACAAACUGAUAAAUUGCAUGAAGGGAAGGUAGCCACAGGCUUUGUGUUCCUUUGGUUGCACCAGAAAACAAACCUGUAAAUAAAUCAGAACCCUUAGCAGAGAGUGUUUUGUUUAACCUGAACCUCAUGUAAACUCCCUGUCCAGCCACAAACCUUAACUCUGACAUAAUCUGCACCUCCCUGGGUUGAACUCACUCCAAACUGACCUUUAGCAGAGACCGGUAAAGAGGAACCACCUGCUGCAUCUCUACAGAAAUUAGUAGCUGAAAAGUUCAAACCUUAUGGAACCCAGCAGCACAGUUCCCACUACCUUUAGCACCAGAAACAUGGACCAUAAGGUGAAGAACAGGACCUGGGUGGCGCAGCAAGGAGAUAGCUUGGCAAUGAGUCACGCUGCUGAUGUUGAUACCAUUUACCUAGAAAGAGGAAGAAAAAUGCACCAUUUAGAUCCUGGAGAGCCUAUGGGUCUUCCACUGCACCUAAUAUCACAAGUGGCGUACCGAGUCGACAGAAGAGCGAUCAGCGAUCCAUUUAGCAGGUCUUCACUAAGUGAUAAGUGGAGACAAGCCCUAGGCUCUUCAGUCUAAAUCUUUCUUUUUUCAAGCAACAACAGAAUCCCGAAGGACUUCCUGAACAACAAUGUUCCCUAAAGGAGUGUCUUUGCCCCCAACUAUCCGCAUUCCUAGUUCUUCUUCUGGAUCAUCUCGAUGAAUUUC